rnacentral:rRNA from 1 species
GGGUAGCGGGACUGAGAGGUUGGCCCGCCACAUCGGAACUGAGACACUGUCCGGACCCCCACGGGGGGCUGCAGUAACGAAUCUUGGGCAAUGGGCGAAAGCCUGACCCAGCGACGCCGCGUGCGGGAGGAAGUCCUUCGGGAUGUAAACCGCUGUCAGGGACGUGAAAGUCCACUUCGGUGGAUUGAUCUAACCCAGAGGAAGUCACGGCUAACUCUGUGCCAGCAGCCGCGGUAAGACAGAGGUGGCUAGCGUUGUUCGGUAUCACUGGGCUUAAAGCGUGUGUAGGCGGAAGCGUAAGCAUUUUGUGAAAUCCCCCGGCUCAACCGGGGCAUUGCUUGAUGUACUGCGUUUCUUGAGGCAAGUAGGGGUGCGAGGAACUCUUGGUGGAGCGGUGGAAUGCGUAGAUAUCAAGAGGAACGCCGAUGGUGAAGACAUUGCACUAGGCUUGUCCUGACGCUGAGACACGAAAGCGUGGGGAGCGAACGGGAUUAGAUACCCCGGUAGUCCACGCCGUAAACGAUGCUUACUAGGUUGUGGCGGUUCUGACGCCGGCACAGCCGAAGCCAAAGUGUUAAGUAAGCCGCCUGGGGAGUACGGUCGCAAGGCUAAAACUCAAAGGAAUUGACGGGGGCUCACACAAGCGGUGGAGCAUGUGGAUUAAUUCGAAUCAACGCGCAGAACCUUACCUGGGUUUGACAUGCUUGGAUGCCUUUCUGGAAACAGAGUAGGUUACCCUUCGGGGUGAAACUUGCACAGGUGCUGCAUGGCUGUCGUCAGCUCGUGUCGUGAGAUGUCGGGUUAAGUCCCUUAACGAGCGAAACCCUUACCGUUAGUUGCCAGCGGGUCAUGCCGGGGACUCUAACGGGACUGCCGGUGUUAAACCGGAGGAAGGUGGGGAUGACGUCAAGUCAUCAUGGCCUUUAUGCCCAGGGCCUCACACGUGCUACAAUGGCCGGUACAAAGCGACGCGAGACCGCAAGGUGGAGCCAAUCGCAAAAAACCGGCCCCAGUUCGGAUUGUAGGCUGGCAACUCGCCUGCAUGAAGUUGGAAUCGCUAGUAAUCGCGAAUCAGCUAUGUCGCGGUGAAUGUGUUCCUGAGCCUUGUACACACCGCCCGUCAAGUGAUGGGAGUUGGAAGUACCCGAAGUCGGGUUGUUAACCGCAAGGAGACGCCUGCCGACGGUAAGUCCGACGACUGGCACUAAGUCGUAACAAGGUA